rnacentral:rRNA from 1 species
CCUACGGGUGGCAGCAGUGGGGAAUAUUGGACAAUGGGGGCAACCCUGAUCCAGCCAUGCCGCGUGUGUGAAGAAGGCCCUCGGGUUGUAAAGCACUUUCAGUGAGGAAGAACGCCUGGUGGUUAAUACCCAUCAGGAAAGACAUCACUCACAGAAGAAGCACCGGCUAACUCCGUGCCAGCAGCCGCGGGAAUACGGAGGGUGCGAGCGUUAAUCGGAAUUACUGGGCGUAAAGCGCGCGUAGGUGGCUUGAUAAGCCGGUUGUGAAAGCCCCGGGCUCAACCUGGGAACGGCAUCCGGAACUGUCAAGCUAGAGUGCAGGAGAGGAAGGUAGAAUUCCCGGUGUAGCGGUGAAAUGCGUAGAGAUCGGGAGGAAUACCAGUGGCGAAGGCGGCCUUCUGGACUGACACUGACACUGAGGUGCGAAAGCGUGGGUAGCAAACAGGAUUAGAUACCCGUGUAGUC